GUCCAUGUGAGACAUGUUUGUGCAUGUAUUAUAAGUGUAGGUAUAUAAUAUAUUGUGAUAUAUUUCAUUGCAAUUAUAGAAGAUAACCAGAAUGUUUUUGUAGAUCCGUAUUUAUUGUUUCGGUCACUAUAUAUUAUUGGGAAUCAGACUCUGUAACCAGUCAAAUCUGAUUGUAAACAUGAAACUGUAGGGGGCACUUUAAAGAAAGGAGGAGAAAAAAAAAGAAAAAGAAGCAGGGAAAAAAAACCCAAAGACAAACAAUUUGGCAGUUUGUGAUGGGUAAAUGGUGCAGAGUUGAGAUGUUCUGCUAGUAACUGUACGUUGGUCAUUGAUUGAAAAAUACAAACGCACCGAAUCACGUUAAAAUCAGUUGCAUCUCCUUGAUUAAUUGGGUCAUUGUAUGGCUUGCUGGCUUUACCUAUAGCUGGAGAACAUUUGCUGUGGUAGAGAAUAAGAUUUACCAUUGGCAAAUAUUGUUAACCUAGAGCCCAAUUCUUGGAGCUGUAGUGGUAUUUUUGUUCAGUUUGUUACCUGCAGAAUUUUCAACACUUGAUGCUCUUCCUGGUUUUUAGCAUUUACUUCCAAGUAGUGGCAGUAGUUUAUAAAGGUAUUUUCUGUUUGGUGUAAAUGUGUGCGACUUCCACCUUGUCAGCAUAUGUACUUUCUUGCAGUUUUGUCUCAGUCCAAACAGGAGCAAUGUAAACUCCUGCCAGAAGGUAGCGACGAUAGUGAAGAUGUGAUCAGAACAUGGGAGCAGUUUUGUUUUCUUGGUGGUUUUUCCUUUUUUUUUUUUUUUUUUGCCUCAUUGUGAAGACGUAGAAUUAUAUUCUUGUUCAAACAGUGCUCCUCAUCUGGGGACAAGGGCAGUCUCAAUUCUUUGGUGGUAGGAGCUUCCUGAUUUGUGGCUCCUGGUGUUCAGCUUUGUGUUCCUUUUUUCCACUUGGAGUAGACUGCAAUCUAGAGAGCAUUUAACACUACAGCUUUCCCUUACAUGUUUCUAUAAAUUGCUGGUGGUUUUAAAAUUUUUAUUUUAGAAGCGUAAUUACAUUUUUCUAAAACUGAAUAUUUUUCCCUUCUGAAUUCCUUUUUUCCUUCAGUCAAAAAAAAAGUGACAAAACCAGCAUUACAGUGCAGGGGUCAGCACUCACUAAUACUGCGAUCCAAUGAGACACAGGCUUUGUCUAGUUUUGAAAAGCUUAAGGAAUUCCUAAGAUGCCAAAGAUGCAUUCAGAGCUAAAUUUCAGGUACGCAGAUGUGCUUGCAGCAGCUGCUCCUGCUGUCAGCUGCCCUGCAGCCACGUCCUUGACUCACCACUGUAAGGUAACUGAGUAUAGACCUGCAAGGGGUGUGUGGGCAAAGGGCAGUUUAGCUGGAGAACCUGUGCUCAAAGACUCCCUUGUUGGUAAUUUGGUGCAGCGCUUAUACUUUAAAAAGGAAAAUCAAUACUUCCACAAUUUACAAUUGAAAUCUUAGGUUUCCUCCUAGUGGACUGCCAUGGACCAGAAAUUAACUGGAGCAGCAGUUUGUUUUAUGGCUUACACUAACUACUGUUAGCAGCCACUAGUAAGUAAUAUCCUGUAUAAUACUGGGGAUGCAAAUGUAAGAAGUGUCACUGCA
rnacentral:lncRNA from 1 species